rnacentral:rRNA from 1 species
GAUCAUGGCUCAGAUUGAACGCUAGCGGCAGGCCUAACACAUGCAAGUCGAACGGUAACAGGAAACAGCUUGCUGUUUCGCUGACGAGUGGCGGACGGGUGAGUAAUGUCUGGGAAACUGCCUGAUGGAGGGGGAUAACUACUGGAAACGGUAGCUAAUACCGCAUAACGUCGCAAGACCAAAGAGGGGGGACCUUCGGGCCUCUUGCCAUCGGAUGUGCCCAGAUGGGAUUAGCUUGUUGGUGGGG